UCUUUCAACACUAGCCUCAUUAGAACUAAAUACAAUGAGUCAAGCAACUUUAAUCACUAAAACAACACAGAGAACAAUACAACCUUUUGACCAAACCAACCGCUGUCCUAAAAGUCUACAAAAUGACAGAUGCUGAAUGUGCAACGUGAGGCAGACUGUGGUGCAGAUCCAGAUCCAGACUGCUUAGAAAUUGAACCAUCAUCGGUCUGUUUCAGGAGAACAACCUACAGAGGGGAUUCAGUGCUGAAGAUAGUCUUGGUAGAUUCCCACUGGGAGCUGGCAGACCGGGAGAGGUAUGAAAGGUGGCUACAGACAAUGACAGCAUUCUGGUCACAGUCCUCCCAUCUCAGCGUGUAUUCAUCACAGCUCCUCAUGAGUAAGCAAAGAAGUCAACUGCUAAGCACAUCUCAGCAUUAGCCUAGGUCAUUGUGGUUCUUCUCUUGAAUUCCCACCACUAGUACAGAAUAUAUUUUUCGAAUGUCAGAACAUGUGGUUUUAAGGGUAGAGAGUGCAAGCGAAGAGAGAAUGUGAAUAUGUAUGUCAGCUUGACGUGUAAACUGAUGCUUGGAGAUACAUAUUGAUGCUUGAAAGUAUGCUUUUUUUAUUUUGAUGAGGGGGAAAAUAUAUAAAAAAAAUCAAAAUCAUUCUAAUAAUUUAAAUGAGUGAUAUCCUGAAUGGGAUGUCAAAACCAGUUAUUUCUAGCACCUGGUACCAGUCAGAUAUGCCUCUUCCCCUAUCACCCAUUUUAAUGUCCUAUUUCAGAUAGUGAUGCCAUAAAACAUAUCAGAAACACUUUCCUCAUAUAAUAGUAAAUUCCAUCGCAGCGUACACAAAGCCUACAGUUUGCUGAUUGAUUUAUGAAAUACAAUGGGUCAAAUCACAGAGAUAACAAAAUGCAGAAAUGAUGUGCCACGGAGCCAAACAUAUCACCCUUCCAUCCCCUCCGUCCCAACCCAGAGUCUACUCUCUCUCUAUAAUGUGCUGCAGCCUCCCAGAGGAUGGAGCGGCACCAGUCCCAUUUCUCCUGUCUGUCUCCAGGGUGUUAUUCUGGGUAAAAAGAGAACCAGCUGUGUUGCAGGAUGACUCUGGGUAAAGACACAGUCCAAAAUGGAAAUAGUGUUAUCUAUCUACAACACACAUAUACAUCUCCAUAGUCCUUUGGUAUGAGUAGCAGUGCCAGAAAUCGUCAAAAUAGAAGAUGGACAAAGAUAGAGAGCACAGACCUCAUUGUGUAAAACUAUCACGAGGCACAUUAUCAAGAUGGGGAAAACAAAUCAGACAGCUGCCACUUAACUCAGUUGAUAUACGGUACAACGAGGAGAGGCUUUAUUUGCAGCUAGGAGAGGGUUUGUAAUGUGAUCCCUGGACUCUUUGCCAAGACUAAUGUCAGCUUCAGUGUGCUGUUGAGCUUCGAUCCAUACUCUGAUCCCAAUGCUUCUUAGUUUACAUUCUAAGUCAGCUGAAGUACAUGCAUUCGUGUUGUUUACAGCCAGGGCUGUGCAGGAUAUGAAGGACUGCCUCUCUCUUCACUUGAGAUUCUCCGGCUGGCCAAAUAAACCAGUCUUAUGCAUGUAAAUAAAGAUAAAAUGUCUCCAAACUCAGGCUGAGUUCCAUUAUUAACACUAUACAGUCUUUUAUAUCCUCCAUGCAAAGAGUUUAUCACUUGCAAUGCAUUGGCCUUCCUGGCUGUAUUCAGUUAGCCAAGUAUGCACCAGUCCAAAAACCUCAGGGCACCAGUCCAAAAACCUCAGGUGCACCUUUGGCUAGGAUGGAAGUGU